rnacentral:rRNA from 1 species
AGGACGAACGCUGGCGGCGUGCUUAACACAUGCAAGUCGAACGGUGAACCCUUCGGGGGGAUCAGUGGCGAACGGGUGAGUAACACGUGAGCAACCUGCCCUUGACUCUGGGAUAACCCCGGGAAACCGGAGCUAAUACCGGAUAUGACGCAUGGAGGCAUCUCUGUGUGUGGAAAGAUUUAUUGGUCAGGGAUGGGCUCGCGGCCUAUCAGCUUGUUGGUGGGGUAAUGGCCUACCAAGGCGACGACGGGUAGCCGGCCUGAGAGGGCGACCGGCCACACUGGGACUGAGACACGGCCCAGACUCCUACGGGAGGCAGCAGUGGGGAAUAUUGCGCAAUGGGCGAAAGCCUGACGCAGCGACGCCGCGUGAGGGAUGAAGGCCUUCGGGUUGUAAACCUCUUUCAGCAGGGAAGAAGCGAGAGUGACGGUACCUGCAGAAGAAGCACCGGCUAACUACGUGCCAGCAGCCGCGGUAA